GCCUACUGCUCCUCACACUGGCCCUUGUCCUGGUGCUAAAGUGGAGGGCAUGCCUCGGGGUGUUCAGCCUGGGUGUGUAGAAGCACACAGUGUGGUACAGAGGACCCUCUCCAGACAGGUGACCCCUCACGCUGCUGUUCCCUCUGCUGAAACCCAAACUCCAAACCUCUCCUCUCCCCGCCUUCACCUUGCCCCAUGGCUUCCACAGACAGUGCCUCAACCCUGAGGAAUGAAUCCGGAGUUCCAAUGACACUGACUUUCCCCGGAACUCAGAGCCAGAGAGGGCCAGGGUCCAGCCCGA